UACAGAGGGUGCGAGCGUUGUCCGGAAUCACUGGGCGUAAAGGGCGCGUAGGCGGCUUGAUAAGCGUGCGGUGAAAGCCCGGGGCUCAACCCCGGGUCGGCCGUGCGAACUGUCGAGCUGGAGCACUGUAGAGGCAGGUGGAAUUCCGGGUGUAGCGGUGGAAUGCGUAGAGAUCCGGAGGAACACCAGUGGCGAAGGCGGCCGCCUGGACCUGACCUGACGCUGAGGCGCGAAGGCGCGGGGAGCGAACGGG
rnacentral:rRNA from 1 species